GCCCUGGGCGCGCUCGUGCUCAGCCUUUGGGUCCUGGCUGUGGAAGGAGGAGGAGCUGAUGUUCAAGGCUUUAGCAUUUAGACAGAUUAACCUCUGAAUUGAUAAUGGAGGGUUUAUUCGGAGAGCUCUGUGGUCAGAGUCAUGCUGCAGAGCGCGAGGGACGAGCGGCACGCGAUCCGCGGGUCAGGUGCUCAGCACGUGGCCAGGAGCCUGGCCUCGUUGAGGUCCUGUUCGUUUCUGUGCAGAAAAAGUGGGGUUAGGGUAGUGAAUCUGCAGAGUCUACCUCCGGAGAAGCUGUUAGGGGAAGAGUAAAGCUGCAAAGAGCAGAUGCAGAACAGUGUGGAGUCUGCAGCUGCGAGCUGACGGCACCUCAGCAUGGUUUUAUCUGCUGGACAUAGCUCUUCUGGCUCGUCUGCACACAGCUGCUCUCUCCAUGUCUGUAAGUAAGAAACGUGUUCAUUUUGGGUCACCUCUGUGACCAUACUUCAUCAUGAGCAGAUUAUACUAAGAUAUCGCAGCUAAGCCUGUGUAUUCAAAUGAUCCAAGCUUGUUGAAAUGGAGCUGCUGUUUCCUGAGUCUGGUCGAUGAUGAUUCAGUUUUUCGGUUCUACUGAUGUUAACUGAAGUCUACUCGCAGCGCACUGAGACACUCAGACUGGAGCGCUUCCUGAAUAUGUGGAUGAGAAAGAGCUUGUGAUUUCAUCACUGUUAUCUUGUCAGGCAUGACCGUAGCAGCCCCAGCUGGAUGACCUUCAUGAAGAGAAAGCAGGUGUAACUGCAGAGGUGGCACUCCCAACACUGAAGAGCCUCGUCUGUCAUCUGAUGGAAGCAUCAAGCUGGAGCAGUGCACGUCUUCCAUUGCUUUAAGCAACGUGUCUUCAUCUGUGUGAAUGUUGAAUGUGGUUUUUGUUUUGUUUUUAAACCACUGUAUUUAAGGACAAUAAAGGUUGACCACACACGACCAAUGGCUAUUUUCUUCAGUGGGUUGAUCACAGUAAAGUCAGAGCACUGUGCUUUGGAAGCUAAUCUCAGUGGGUGACAGUUUUGCCACAAGUUCUUCUCAUGCACUGAUCAGAUGGUUGUAACUGUAUAAUCCCCAAGCAGCUUUUGGGUUUACGGUCUUACACAUCAGUGCAACGUUUUACUUAUAUAAAUGUGUGAAACCUUACUGAUGGGUGACUGAAUGCUGUAUUAAAGUGCUGCACAUGGCUAAACUGGAAUUAAAUGUUAGUGAUGUGGCAAAAUUAUCCAACAUCAUUAAACGAUCUCAUGCAAAGGAAUAAAAGGCUGAGCUGAAAGCGGCUUGGUCACGUAUUUCUACGCUGAACUGAUAUAAAAUCGGGUUUGUCCAGAACCUGAGAAAUUGUGUAGUUUGAUAUGUUUUACAAACACCUGCCUCCGUGAAAUUGACUGACGUGCAAAGCUAAUUUACACGUUGGCAACAUCACUGAAGAGGACGAGUCUCACGUGAGGCUGACCCGCUGACGGUAACCAUGGUUUUAUUUUGAAGGCUGAAAGCGACCCGGUAGUCCGUCGUCUUUGUUCUCGUAAUGAGCGGGGAAACCGUUCAGGCGACCUUUUUGUGCUUACUAGGAGUGCUCUUAGUGGUACCUGCCUUCCCUUAGCUUUAAGUGGACACGGACCUUUCUCUCCACAGUGGACAUUUGAGCCACGACGUCCUGAAGCAGAGCAACUAGUCUGUUUAUCGAGUUACCUCAUGCUAACGAGUAGCGCUAGCUGGGUUCAGACAAAGCAGCUAACAGCGGCGAAGGUGAGCUUUUAGCUACUGACUUUUAUCACUGACAGGUUUAUUCACACCGAAAAAUCAUAUGUGAGGUAAACUUUAAACAGCUCGCUCAGUGGUGAGUAACCUGUAGGGCAGCUGACCGCUGUGUUAGCAAAGCUGCACGAUGUUGACGUGGAGCUGGAUACCAAACUGCACGCGUAAACCAACCUUUCUACUUGUUUGAGGAGUUAACAAAUGCGUUUCGAGAGGCUGAAAAAAGUUUGUUUUGUUUUUUUGUUGGGAAGGGCUGGCCAAAGAAUAAGCUAACUGUUGGCUAACGCUGAGCUGAAGCUUUCGUCAACUUUCCCAGUUCCUCUGUGCUAAGGUGUCGCUGAAAUACUGAAAGCACCCUCGAAGGUUGUCAGCUGAAACCAAACAUGUAGACUGUUCUUCUGGACUUUAAAUGGUGGAGUCUCGUUAAGAGCAGAGCCCUGUAAGUAAUGUAGUGUGGGGGCGAGUGUAACCUUUUGUCUGCUGAACUGCUCGAACACACCCACAGGUGUGGCGAUGACCCGAGGACGUCACGUUGCCCAGGCCUGAGGCCUCCUGAACAAGUAUUUCAACUUCAUAACUGCACCGACAGCGAGUGCAUGCUUUUCUCUGAAGCUCGGGAAGCCAACAGGACGUGAAAACUGACGAUUUUAACCGAGCUCUAACAAGCUCCGCGAGCAGACAUGGCAGCUGUGGUGGGCAAAGCGUGGGGGUGGGUCCGCUCAUGGGGCAGCAGCGGUGCCAGGUCAAAGGACACUAACGUUUUGACAGCUGAGCGCCAAAAGCUGCGUGGCAGUGGUGGUUGGGGCAUCAAGGCUUGGAUCUGGGGUUCAUGGGGACGUCAGCAUGAACUAAGCAGUCCAGUAGAGGAGUACUGGGAGGCACAGGAGAAGCUUCAGCCCAUUAAAAUUGAAGAUCUGGCGGCAGGGAAGCCAGAGGCUGAAACUGUACUGGUGCCUAGGUGGUGGGAUAGAUAUCUUCCAACUUCUUAUCUGUGGCCAAGGAAAACUGAGCUAAGUGGACUACGACACAGGAAACGUGACGGUGGGACUGGAGAUCCACGGGAACGUGAUACUGAUGGAGACUUUUCUGAUUAUGGAACCCCCCCUCCGUCCCCCACCCCUUCUCCCUCUCAGCUGACUUCUCCUUUUCGACUGUUUGCACACAGCUGGAACGUGGAGAUUGUACCAGAGCACUACGAGAUCUGCUUUAACUUCCUACGCCACUUGUUUGACCUGCUUGUUGUUGGCUUCCUGUGGACUGUGUCACCUCCUGCCAAGCUUAUCCUGGAGGUGCUGGGUGUCCAGGGAGCACUGAGACUGUGGUUUCAUGGUAUGGCUAUGUUUUUUGUCGCCACAGUUGGAAUGGCAGGAUUACUCUGGUUGAUCCAGGAGUAUCUCCUGCAGUUUGCCCUGAUCUAUGGCAUCAUUCAGGCAUUGGUGAUCUCUGUCAGUGUUCGACAGAGUGUGAUGCUAGGUGUUGAGGAAGAGAAUGACCAGACAGGAAAGGACACUGAUGACACGAGAGACACUAAGGAACACAAAGACAAGCCUGUGUCUGUCACAGACAAGGUAAAGACAAAUUAAAGGUGGAGAGAAUUUGCUGGCACCACCAGUACUCCAACUGUAUCACACCUCCUCCAGCCCUCUGACGUCACAGCGGUGGGACUGAGACUGUGGACUGCAGCGUGUGUUCUGCAGCGUAACUUAAGAAUUGUAUUGCACAUUAAUUUCAUAUUCAGAGAAAUGAUACAUGUGGCACUUUAUGUCCAGCACUACAGAUCUGCAUCUGUGUUCAGUUGAUCUCACUGAUAACUGUUGUAAUCUACACCAGAAGAGCUCAUGAAUGUUCAAAGAAUGCUUAAGUGAAAGGGGAAAUCGCCAGCAGGUACCUGUUUCUGUUUUCUUCUUGUUUGUGGGACUACUCUUCCCAUGAGACAGUCACUUGAUUUGAGACCAGCCGAUUGCCUCCAGUGCGUUGUGUUGGUGAGUAGAACAGCAAAUCUUAGAGAGGACAGAUGCAGCAUUUAUGAAGAGAGCCUCACUGAGACACUUUAGGUGAAGCAGAAAUAUCUUUGGGUCUCUUAAACACAGCGAGGAGCAGGAAUAAACUCUGAACAGAAGUCUUACUGAACAGCACCACCGACAGUUUGCGCCUGCAUCCACUGGCCAGUUUUAGUGUGCCUCCUAAUGUUUAGCUCUUCUGACCGUGUUCAUUGUGUGGGGGGCAAAUUUAAAUCUGCCGUAUGGCCCCGCUCAGUUUGAACUCAAUUGAAGCUUGGCCAUGUACAUUUGCUUGACUUUAACCUUUGUUCCAACACAGCUGAUUUAAAUGACCUCAACAUGUCUUGAAGUUCUUCAGAGGCUGGUAAUGAACCAAUCAUCUGACUCAGGUGUGCUGACCCAGGGUGAGAUCUAAAACCUGCAGGACACCAGCUCUCAAGGCCUGGAGGUCCCCACCCCUGGUUUAGACUCUGUGAUGGUACUGACCUGUGACUUUGAGCUUGUAUCCAGGACACCGUACCGGCUCACUCAGUGGAACAGGGAGCUAAUGUGAAUGUUUGUGUCGCCUGCAGGAGAUCCGAGCUAGUAGCAAACACCACUGGUGAGCUAUAGCUACUCAAGACGCGCACACUACAGCAUAGACCACAGGUGUUGAACUCCAGGCCUCGAGGGCCGGUGUCCUGCAGGUUUCAGAUGUCUCCUUGAUCCAACACAGCUGAUUCAAAUGGCUAAAUGACCUCCUCAACAUGUCCUGAAGUUCUCCAGAUGCCUGCUAAUGAAGUAAUCAUUUGAUUCAGGUGUGUUGACCCAGGGUGAGAUCUAAAACCUGCAGGACCCCGGCCCUCGAGGCCUGGAGUUCGACACCCCUGGCAUAGACUGUAUUAAAGCCAAGAGUAGUCUGCAGUUUAAAUUUCUUUUUUUAGACAAAGAGCAAAAGACUAAUGAAAUCUAAUUCAGAUCUUUCCUUUCAAGUCAUAAAGGAAGUAGCUUCAGCAUGGAGAUGGUUGCUGUUCGUUUAUAAGAGAUCAGAUGUUCGGUGAAUCAAACAGCAGGUCUACCUGAGCUGUGGAAGCUUCUGCAACCUUGGCAUGCAUUUGCAGCCGAUGCUACAUUCAAACUAUGAACUGGUUGAAGGAGCAGUACACUCAUUGUUGCUUUCUGUGAGGGAUGUGUGAGAUUCUGGGAACCGGCACAAUACCAGCAGCUGACUUUAAAGUAUUUUGUGUGUACACUUAGAUUCUGCCUUUUGUUGUUUUCUGUGCCAUGAUAUAUACUCACAACGUAGGGCGCACUUUCCCUCCACAGAAAUGUCACGGAGGGCUUUUCCAUUUACCACUACUCUCGUAUAUAUUACUGUGUUUAAGUAUGUGCCGCCGAACCGUUUAUUCCAGUAACACUUAUGGACUUCAGCUCCAUCAGCCUGUGCGAUGAUGAAGCCUUUGGGCAAAAUUAACUGAAGUAUUUGUGUCUUAUUUGUGCAUGACGUAUAACAAAACUACAGAAUUCUUAUUGAUGAAAAUAUAGCGUAAAAUCAAACCCUUACUGACACUGCACUUCACAGCACAACAGGGUUCAGAGUCUGCUGAUAGUUUAAAGUAGGAGAUGCAAAUCUGCUGCUUUUCCUCGUCUUACUGUAACAUAGAAGAGUCCUCAGAGGAUGCAGCUUUAAAGGGCAUCAUUGGAUCCUUUGGCCAUGCUAUAUUUGUCCAUCACAAUUCAAAUAAUGAUAUGGUAUUUUUUCCUUAAUCUUACAAUCUUAAUCUUGCUUUUUUCCAGUUUUUGGCCACAUAAUGAAAUAUUUAAGUGUUUGAAAAUGUUUGAUUUUAUAAUAUUGUUCAAGUAAACAGGUUACACCAAA